rnacentral:rRNA from 1 species
GAUGAACGCUGGCGGCGUGCCUAAUACAUGCAAGUCGAGCGAACGGACGAGAAGCUUGCUUCUCUGAUGUUAGCGGCGGACGGGUGAGUAACACGUGGAUAACCUACCUAUAAGACUGGGAUAACUUCGGGAAACCGGAGCUAAUACCGGGUGAUAUUUUGAACCGCAUGGUUCAAAAGUGAAAGACGGUCUUGCUGUCACUUAUAGAUGGAUCCGCGCUGCAUUAGCUAGUUGGUAAGGUAACGGCUUACCAAGGCAACGAUGCAUAGCCCACCUGAGAGGGUGAUCGGCCACACUGGAACUGAGACACGGUCCAGACUCCUACGGGAGGCAGCAGUAGGGAAUCUUCCGCAAUGGGCGAAAGCCUGACGGAGCAACGCCGCGUGAGUGAUGAAGGUCUUCGGAUCGUAAAACUCUGUUAUUAGGGAAGAACAUAUGUGUAAGUAACUGUGCACAUCUUGACGGUACCUAAUCAGAAAGCCACGGCUAACUACGUG